rnacentral:tRNA from 1 species
GAAACUUAUCGGCCUAUUCUAGUCCUGCUAAGUCUUAGUAAUCUGUAGUUCAACUCUAUAGAAGUUUCG